rnacentral:rRNA from 1 species
UUCCGGUUGAUCCUGCCGGACCUGACUGCUAUCGGAUUGAUACUAAGCCAUGCAAGUCUUUGUAGUAAUACAAGGCGUACGGCUCAGUAACGCGUAGUCAACCUACCCUAUGGAUGGGGAUAAUCUCGGGAAACUGAGCAUAAUACCCAAUAGAUCAUCAAUUCUGGAAUGGUUGAUGAUUCAAAUGAUUUUUCGCCAUAGGAUGGGACUGCGGCCUAUCAGCUUGUUGGUGAGGUAAUGGCCCACCAAGGCAAUUACAGGUACGGGCUCUGAGAGGAGAAGCCCGGAGAUGGGUACUGAGACAAGGACCCAGGCCCUAUGGGGCGCAGCAGGCGAGAAAACUUUGCAAUGUGCGAAAGCACGACAAGGUUAAUCCGAGUGAUUUCUGCUAAAGGAAUCUUUUACCAGUUCUAAAAAUACUGGCGAAUAAGGGGUGGGCAAGUUCUGGUGUCAGCCGCCGCGGUAAAACCAGCACCUCAAGUGGUCAGGAGGAUUAUUGGGCCUAAAGCAUCCGUAGCCGGCUCUGUAAGUUUUCGGUUAAAUCUAUAUGCUCAACGUAUAGGCUGCCGAAAAUACUGCACAGCUAGGGAAUGGGAGAGGUAGACGGUACUCGGUAGGAAGGGGUAAAAUCCUUUGAUCUAUCGAUGACCACCUGUGGCGAAGGCGGUCUACCAGAACAUGUUCGACGGUGAGGGAUGAAAGCUGGGGGAGCAAACCGGAUUAGAUACCCGGGUAGUCCCAGCUGUAAACGAUGCAGACUCGAUAAUGCAUUGGCACAUAGCCAGUGCAGUGUCGCAGGGAAGCCGUUAAGUCUGCCGCCUGGGAAGUACGUACGCAAGUAUGAAACUUAAAGGAAUUGGCGGGGGAGCACCACAAGGGGUGAAGCCUGCGGUUCAAUUGGAGUCAACGCCGGA